UGUGCCACAUCAUCACUUAGUACAUUCUCUGACUCUCUAGCAUCAUAUCAACAUCAUCAUGAUUCAAACAUUAUUCAUAUUGAAAGUGACGCCAAUAAACAACCAAAAAUAAGACAUGACUGUACCACUUGAACAUGCCAGGUUUCCUAGCAACAGCAAUUUAACUAGUAUGUCCAUGCCUAAUUUGCUUUUAAAAUCUGUGCCAAGACUCCCACCUCGGAUAUGAGCCACCGAAAUAUCAGCUUCACCACCACUGAUGGCGAUAUCACUCCCGAAGGAGAAAAGCAGCAUUCAGAAGAUGGUGGUCUUUAAAGCAAUGCCCUGCUCAUGUUGUUGUCAUUCUUGGCUUUGCUCCUGUCACAGAAAGCUUAGCUGCUCAAACUAGAAAAUCCCUUCUUUCUACGGUUACCAAGGAAACUAUUUACUGAGACUCUUUCCCCCCACAGCAUUCAUUCUCGGUUGCCGAAUCAAGAAAAGUACUUACAUUUCGACUUCCACUCUGUGCAUAAUAAGACUAUUACAAGCACAAUGUGUUAUCUGCCUGAAAUGCCAAAGGAUCGCAGGCCUGAGAGGACUUACGAAAAAACUGAUGUGUUUUUAUUGUAUUCCCCUUCUGACGCUGAAUUGAUUGUAAUUGCUGAUGUCUCGGACGUGUAUUUGCUUCUGAAGUCUGUCAUGGUUUGAAAAGGUUUAAGGAUUAUUGUGGAAAAGGAGCAUGAGCUCAAAAUGACUGCUUUUAUUAUUUCACCAACAAUGAAGCCGUAUAAUAGUGCAUCAAAAUUUAUGAAUACGAGCGACUUGUGGAUCUAUCUGGGUCAGUGCUCAAAUCGAAGAAAAUGGGUCAAGAGACAUCAGAGAGACAGACAGAGAUCCUCUAGUCUAAGCUGUUUGGACUCUCAUUCUGACGGCACCCAUUCACUGCAGAGGAUCCAUUGAUGAGCAAGUGAUGUAAUGCUAAAUUUCUCCAAAUCCGUUAAAUCUUGGAUGGCCUGAUGGUGAGUAAAUUUUCAGCAAUUUUCAUUUUUGGGUUAACUGUUCCUUAUAGCUUAAAAGGUCAUUAAUAGAGUUCUAACAGAAAAGCUUAUAUAAUGUUUUACUCCAAACAUAUAUUCAUGGCACAUAUCUUUUGAGAAGGCAUGAAGUGAGAGCUCUACACCAGGAGAAUAAAGUGUGCCCACAUUUGUGUAUUCGCUGCUAUGUUAUGCAUAAAUAAUGUUUUAUAUGUGUGCAUUCACUCAAGCACCCGCUCGCCUGUGUGUUUGUGUGCAAUCUUGCAUGAGUCAAUAUGGGCUGAUGUAUAUGUGUUUGUAAGCAUGCAUGUGCCCACUGCUCUGUGUGUGUGUUUUAUAAUGAUAUAUGAGGUCAAUGUUAAGCACGGGAACUAGACAAGGACACAGGGAUCCCACAAUCCCCUGCAGGCCAUUGACACGCUCGACAUCUGCCUCUCUGGCUAAUGUCUGCAAUCGACUGAGCAACCUCCAAACAGCAUCUAAGCAACAUCUGAACAAUGUCCCAGCUGAACUCUCCUCAGGGGCUGAAGUCUGCGCUCACCUCACCUGCCACUCAAAUGGAUUGUGCUCUGUUUCACUAAUGUGAUAAACACACCUCACACUACAAAACAGAACGAAAGGCAAAAAGAAAAUGUUCAGCCUUAGAGAAACGAGGUGCAUCAUCAAGAGGAUGGUGAACUUGAGAUUAACUUUGGCCAUGUACACACUGCAGCUAAAUUUGGUUGUCAGUUCACAUUAGUACUCAGUCCUGUUCAGUACACACACAGUUUAGUCAUUUACAGGAGUGGUGACUGCAUUGUACAACGACUUGACUGCUGUAAAAUUCAGGUAGUGGCAACCGCAUUUACAAAAAUUCUACACAGUGUGUACUGAACCGAACUGACAAGCUAGUAUAAUUUAAACAUGUAUAAGAGUUGUGUGUCUCUUCUGUAUGUUGCCAGAUCUUGCUCAAAAAAAUAUAAAAUGAGAACUAGCGCAUGCUUAAAUCCAAGCGCUUUAUUUUGAAAAUAAGCCACAUACCAAAAGAUUGCAACCUGCCUACUUUAUUAACUCCAUAAACUGAACUGAUUUAUAAGCCAAACCAAACAACAAGGCCACAAACUUAAUAAAUGUCACUUAUAAUAAGUCAUCAGAUGACCAUUGUUUUCACACUGCACAACUAUCUGGUGUAGCAUUCAACUGCUGCUGUGUUCACAUUGCACGAUGGAUCGGUGACAUGACUUUACAAUGGAAGAAUCACUGACAACUCUGUCUGGUCCACAAACUACACUGUAAAAAAUAAUCCAUAAAAUAUACGGUAAAAAACUGGCAGCUGUGGUUGCCAGAAUUAUACCGUAAAAAAUACGGUAACACCGUUUUAGGUUUAAUGGUUUUAUACCGUAAAAAAUACGGUAACACAAUUAUUGGUUUAACGGUUUUACCUUAAAUGUACAGUUUAAUACCGUAAUUUAACUGAUAUAAUAUUAAUAUACCAACUUAUUGAAUACUGAAAUCUGUUUUGUACCUUUGUAAUACACUGGUAACCACCAAAAGCAGGUGGUGAUGAGAAAGUCACGUGAUGAAACAAAAUUAUAUGUAAAAUUACAUGUAAAGUCCAAUACAGUUUUUCACCGUAUAUAGUAGGGGAAUUUACCGUAAACCACCAGUUUUUACUGUUACAUUUUUACAGUGUUUUACCGUUAAAUUCACAGUAAUUUUUUACAGUGUACGUUUCAGAACCAAACGCACAUGAGAAGUGAUAAGGAAGAUCACGCGAGAUCAGAGUUCUCGUGUGAGACUGAAAAUGUUAUUAAAAUGGUAGGCCGCAAGAAGUUUGUGAUACAAAUGGUCCUCUAAACUUUUGUACAUUUCUUGGGUCCAAAUUGAGUGAGAAGGAGCCUUUCUCGGAACUAAAGCCAUGCUUGCUGAUAUUGUGGUUUAUAACUCUUCCCUGAACUUGCUGCUGCCCUGUAUUUUGGUCUCUAUUUGGCUGUAGGUCAUCGCAGAUGUAUUUUUCAGUCAGAACAUUCACACAGCAGGAUUCUGAAUCGCUGACAGGUCCAGAUACAGCGGGUAAAAAUAAGUAUUGAUUUCCAAUUUCCACCACAGGAAUAAAAAGCAUUUUAACAUAUUUUACAAUAGAAAACGGUUGCUUUUAAUUGUAAUAUUUCACAAUAAUUUUUUCUGCAUGUCUUUUUACACAUUUUGCUUAAUUUGUCACUUUGUGUAGUAUUGGUCUGCUCACUACCUCAUUCAACUACCUCUUCUGACAGUUUAAAUAAAGAUGUCAGUCUGUGUAUUUGUAUAGUUGUAUUUUAUAUAUUUUUAAUCUGUAUUUAUCUGUAUUUUUAUGUUCUACUGUUAGUGUUAGUGUUAUCUGUAUGCACCAAGGGACUGAGUACAUGUGGAAGAAUUGACGAUAAAGCAGGCUUUGACUUUUGACUUGACUUAAAUUAUACAUUUAAAAAUGUUAAUUAUUCCAGGCUUUUGACUCUUAGUGGAGCACCAGUAGAGAAAAUCAUUUUCAUUUCUAAAAUCUAAAAAGUUAAUAUUGCCUUAUCUAUUUAUCACACUCGCAAUCAUGCAUCUGAAUAUCAGUAUGGCUCGUGUGAUAGAGUUCAGUUUUCUAAAGUUGCUUUAAGCACAAAGGCACAAACACGGCUUUCACUGGCUGUGUCAAUGCUUCCUUGAAAAGCCUUCACCACUGCUUUACCUCCACAACAACGGCAAGCAGAUGAGUUCUAUAAUGUUACCCCUCAUCAGCCAAUGCUCAUUUCUGACCGUCUGACCUCUGGACACCUCAUCCGACUCCUCUCUGAUGGAACCUGUUAUGAUGUCCAGAGAGAUUACAGCUCUGCACCAUUCACAUAAACUCCAGUCAAUAAAUGAAUCCCUG
ensembl:lncRNA